rnacentral:rRNA from 1 species
CCUACGGGAGGCAGCAGUGAGGAAUAUUGGUCAAUGGGCGUAAGCCUGAACCAGCCAAGCCGCGUGCGGGAUGAAGGUUCUAUGGAUUGUAAACCUCUUUUAUACGGGAAUAAAGUGCGGGACGUGUCCCGUUUUGUAUGUACCUUAUGAAUAAGGAUCGGCUAACUCCGUGCCAGCAGCCGCGGUAAUACGGAGGAUACGAGCGUUAUCCGGAUUUAUUGGGUUUAAAGGGUGCGUAGGCGGCCUUAUAAGUUAGCGGUGAAAGCCUGGGGCUCAACCAUAGAAUUGCCGUUGAAACUGGGAGGCUUGAGUAUGUUUGAGGCAGGCGGAAUGCAUGGUGUAGCGGUGAAAUGCUUAGAGAUCACGCAGAACCCCGAUUGCGAAGGCAGCCUGCCAAGCCAUGACUGACGCUGAUGCACGAAAGCGUGGGGAUCAAACAGGAUUAGAUACCCUUGUAGUC